UACGUAGGGGGCUAGCGUUGUCCGGAAUCAUUGGGCGUAAAGAGCGUGUAGGCGGCCCGGUAAGUCCGCUGUGAAAACUCGAGGCUCAACCUCGAGAUGUCGAUGGAAACCGUCUGGCUAGAGUCCGGAAGAGGAGUGUGGAAUUCCUGGUGUAGCGGUGAAAUGCGCAGAUAUCAGGAAGAACACCUAUGGCGAAGGCAGCACUCUGGGACGGUACUGACGCUGAGACGCGAAAGCGUGGGGAGCGAACAGG
rnacentral:rRNA from 1 species